UACGUAGGGGGCUAGCGUUGUCCGGAAUCAUUGGGCGUAAAGCGCGUGUAGGCGGCCCGGUAAGUCCGCUGUGAAAGUCGGGGGCUCAACCCUCGAAAGCCGGUGGAUACUGUCGGGCUCGAGUGCGGAAGAGGCGAGUGGAAUUCCUGGUGUAGCGGUGAAAUGCGCAGAUAUCAGGAGGAACACCAAUAGCGAAGGCAGCUCGCUGGGACGUUACUGACACUAAGGCGCGAAAGCGUGGGGAGCGAACAGG
rnacentral:rRNA from 1 species